GACCGAGGGUGCAAACGUUGUUCGGAAUUACUGGGCGUAAAGCGCGUGUAGGCGGCUAUGUAAGUCGGGCGUGAAAUCCCACGGCUCAACCGUGGAAGUGCACCCGAAACUGCGUAGCUAGAGUCCUGGAGAGGAAGGUGGAAUGCUUGGUGUAGAGGUGAAAUUCGUAGAUAUCAAGCGGAACACCGGUGGCGAAGGCGGCCUUCUGGACAGUGACUGACGCUGAGACGCGAAAGCGUGGGGAGCAAACAGG
rnacentral:rRNA from 1 species